UACAGAGGGUGCAAGCGUUGUUCGGAAUUAUUGGGCGUAAAGCGCGUGUAGGCGGCUUUGCAAGUGGAUGGUGAAAUCCCUCGGCUUAACUGUGAAACUGCCUUUGAUACUGCAAGUCUUGGAUCCAGAAGAGAGUUGUGGAAUUCCGAGUGUAGCAGUGAAAUGUGUAGAUAUUCGGAAGAACACCAGUGGCGAAGGCGGCAUCCUGGACCGAAACUGACGCUGAUGCGCGAAAGCCAGGGGAGCAAAGCGGG
rnacentral:rRNA from 1 species